AGCCGCGAACUCCGCGGAACGGAUCCCGCAUGCCACGCGGCGGCGAGGUCCGCCGGUAGUUCGGGCUCGGUCGGCCGCGACGAUCGGUCCCCGGAAUGUAUAACCCUCGCACCGAACGCUACCGGUUCGAGUGUCGCGGCGUAGAAUUCCGCUUCGACGGAAUGUCACUGAGAGGAAUCCCUUUUCGACGGAAUAUUCGCGACCGUCGCUAUCUCUCCGCCGACCGUUUAUCUGACUCCGGCGAGGACUUCCGGUCGUGGCGACAACGAAAGGCAGCCCGAAAACCGUCAGAUUUCAUCGGAUAUGUACCGAGCAAGUUCACCGAACGAAAGAGGAGCUGCUCAAGCGAGCCUCGACGAACGUGGACUCCUGGUGCGCGGGGCAUUCGCGAGUCGAUGGCGUAAUUGGCGCGGAUUGUCUCGAUUCCUGCUGGGAAAACAGCUGCUUGGCAUUGCGGGAUGAUGAUUUUAUCGUGAACGGCGCGUGACUUUGCCUCGCAUCGGAUAAAACUACGAGCACGUGAAGUGGCAGUUCGGGUACCAUCGGGAUUGAAGGAACCCUUCGAAAUUCUUCUUGGCCCAACUACUACGUUCAACAUUGGAAAAAAGAGAAUUUUACACCGAACUCAUUUUACAUUGGAAAAGUAAUCACCCGAAGAUCAAACGGCCGAAGUUGACACGCGUCUUCAUCAGCAUCGAACGAAUUCGCCGGGGGAAACGGAGAAAGUCCAAGAGAUCAUCGAUUUCGUUCGCAACGUUCGAUUCGAGUUUACCGGACAUCGUCGAUAGAUCUUCCGCGAGAUUCCUCGACGCUGUGAAAAUCGUGCAGACAUCCCAGGCAUCCGGUGUAGCACGCGUCGGCCAGCCGACAGUCGAUCCGUCCCUGAUCGUCAAUCCUCAUUCAACCGUCCGGCAGCUCGUAAAAGCCGCACACGCGCGCGGAUUCACGGUCGUUUCGCCGUUUCGAGCGGAUCUCCCACACGCGCGGCCUUUUACGCGGCGAUUAAAAACGAAAACGAGCGCGAAUGGCUUUAAGCCGGCCGUUUAAUCGUUCAAUUUCACGCGCGCGACGAUAAUCGCGUGCGAUACCGCGGAUAGCGCGUCAGGCGGCGCGCGGCUUAUCGCGCGGAACAGCCGGUAGAUCGGCCGCGCCUCGCCGAACGAUGUUUAUGGAAAUUUAAUGGCGCCUCGUAAAUUUGUAACGCGUUAUCGGGGUUAAGUGUUCCCUCGGCUUUCUCUGUCGAUGCUCGCGAAUUACCCCUUCGCCUUGUCGCGUCGAGUCAGAGUCCUCGUUCGAGAUUUCGAAAUGAAUCGGGUGCAAUGGGAACGCUUCUUUUCCAGUUGAAGUCGGGUACGCUUUUCUUGUUACCGUUUAUUCUCGGUAUUCGGCUCGCGUGCCGCACGUCGGUUUAUAACGAACGUAGAAUUUCUGGUUUUUUGGGGAAUCGAUAGCGACGAAGUAGGUUUCGCGAGCGUGAUCGGCGAAGGAGUUAUAGAGGAUUGAUCCGUUCAGUUGCUUUAUACGAAUUUACGCGAAGCGACCGUGGUAUUUGGUAAUUCCGUUGGGAAGUAGCGUGCAAGCGAUCGGUUUUUUUCGAAUUGUCGAGGGAAUCCGUGAGAAGUUCGCGUGGCGGAUCGCUGGAAAAGGACGACGAGGCACGGAGGGGAAGAGGGCAGGCUCGAUCGAGACGAGAACCCUUGACCCAGAUGCCAUCCGACAAACAAAAUAUUCGAUAAAUAUGCGCCAAGGCUCCGGCGUCGCGGAAACUCGUGGCUCGAGCCGAUCGGAACACAACCGAACGCCUCGAACGUGUUGAUCCGCGCGAGUGUCCUGAAUGAUAACACUACGACGAAAAGCUCGAGCUGCGAAUAUUCGGUUUUGGUAGAGUUUCCAGUCUGUAAUAGGAACCUGGAGGAAAAACUAUCACUCUCGGUUUUUGAGAAAUUUAAUUGCGAAACGAACAUGUCGAACGUUCAAUGUCCAAUGUUUAAAAUUCGAAUUUCAAAUGAUAAACUUCCACUGGAAAUUUGAGUGUCAAAUUUCGAAUUCUAAAUUUCAAAUUCCAACCUGGAGCGCCAUUUCACGUUCUCAAUUGAAACCUCCGUUCGUAUUCCGUUCAUUUCCGAGGUUCAUAGACGCAUAGGGAACAAACAAUUCCAAUGAAUACCAAAACACGAAAAUCAUCAUCUAAACGAGUUGGAAACACGUCAGCCGACCAGCCGAAACUGCGCAGGACUAUAAAAAGACAAAUCCUCGAAAGCGGCGCGACAAGUGUACUUGGUCUGGGCGUGUCCGAGGAUAAAACGGUCCUUCGUUAAGGCUGCGCCGCGCGCGCCAUUUUCCAGUUCUGCAGAGAGACCGGGGAUUCCCGGUCGCGGAUCGGCAUUCCGCGUCUAAAGAAAACUAGAACGGCGCGAGUUAAUUGGACCGAGCCCGGCUGAUUAGCCGGUGGGAUUGAAA